rnacentral:rRNA from 1 species
CGGCGGCCCGAGUGGUAAUCACUUUUAUUGGGUCUAAAGGGUCCGUAGCCGGUUUGAUCAGUUCUUCGGGAAAUCUGACAGCUCAACUGUUAGGCUUCCGGGGAAUACUGUUAGACUUGGGACCGGGAGAGGUAAGAGGUACUACAGGGGUAGGAGUGAAAUCUUGUAAUCCCUGUGGGACCACCAGUGGCGAAGGCGUCUUACCAGAACGGGUCCGACGGUGAGGGACGAAAGCUGGGGGCACGAACCGGAUUAGAUACCCGAGUAGUCC